UGUAGGCGGUUAAGCAAGUCAGAUGUGAAAGCCUUCCGCUUAACGGGAGAAGUGCAUUUGAAACUACCUGGCUGGAGUUCGGGAGAGGAGAGUGGAAUUCCCGGUGUAGAGGUGAAAUUCGUAGAUAUCGGGAGGAACACCGGUGGCGAAGGCGGCUCUCUGGCCCGAUACUGACGCUGAGACGCGAAAGCGUGGGGAGCAAACAGGAUUAGAUACCCUGGUAGUCCACGCCGUAAACGAUGGGCACUAGGUGUAGGAGGUAUUGACCCCUUCUGUGCCGAAGCUAACGCAUUAAGUGCCCCGCCUGGGGAGUACGGCCGCAAGGCUAAA
rnacentral:rRNA from 1 species